UGUCGGUUGUGAUGACCUGAGACAAGCCGAAGUGACAGAUGGUGCUCUUCUAAACAAAGUCAUGGGUGUUCUUCUCAGUGAUAUGGAUGAGUGGCUCCAUCUCGAUCCACUUGGUGAAGUUGUUGAUUGUCACUAUAAGAAAUUUCUUUUGUCUGGUGGCCUAUGGGAAAGGACUGAGGAUGUCGAUCCCCUACUGAGCCAAUGGCCAAGGAGAAUAGACUAGAG
rnacentral:lncRNA from 1 species